GUGAAUCAUCAAAUUUUUGAACGCAAAUUGCACUCUCUUCUGAGAGUAUGGCUGUUUGAGGGUGAGCGUAAUAAAACUAGACGUAGUUGCUGUUUCAUUGUGUAAUUCGUCGGAAAUUGGGUCAUCUUACACCUUUGGGUUUUUUAAGUGGCUUAAAAUUUGUUUUACGUAUCCACGAACGUGUCUUAGAUUUUACUUCUUAUAAACGUAUAAGG
rnacentral:misc_RNA from 1 species